GCACCGGUGGUGUAUGGAACACGCCCCAGUAUAAUAAAUAGAUUGUCAGGUGGAUUAUUCUGAUGUUGAGACGGGGUUCGAUUCCCCGCCGGUGUA